rnacentral:tRNA from 1 species
ACUUUAUGAGUACAUCAGUAUACUUGACUUCCAAUCAAGUGGUCUUAGUGAGAGCCUAAGAUAAAGUA